ACAUAAAACAACAAAAGUCACGUACACAUUUUGCUUAUAGGGAUUUUCAAAAGAACUCUAGGCCCACAAAGAUGUUUAACUGGUCUUCAAGAUCUUCACAAGCCAAUCUCAUACUUACCAGGAUCAAAGGCACAGGAGAGCAGCAACAGCCUAAGAGCACUGCCCAAAUCACAUCUUCAAAAGGGGAGGAGGUAAACCACAUUCUGCUACAAGGGACCUAACAGACCACAACACCAGGCAAAAUUAACUGAUAUUCAAAACAUGACUGAUUGAGAUUUACGGCUGAAAACAUGGAAUUUAAAUAUAAGAUACUCUACUUGUCCACUUGUGUCUGCAGCCUGCUGGAAAUGUGUA